UAGCGCAUUUUUUUUUAUUUUUGUGGAAAUGCGCUAAAAAGGAGGCAAUACUCAGGGUGCAAAAAAUUUAUAAAGCGCCUUUUUCUGAAGGCGAAUUCCAUAUAUUGAGCGUCUAUAAAAGUCCGGAUAGUCUUUCACAGCAACAAUUAGUUCUUUUAUUUUAAACUAGCAUUUUGUAGCGCAUUUCCCAACGAAUAGAAAUUGGGUGCGCUAUUGCAGCCACUUUCUCUGUCUGUCCGAGGCCUUAACUACUCCUACAGUUUUCAAGAUAUUUAGUUCGUUCUUUUUGUAUUCGGUAUUACACAUUAAGGGUAUCUAUGUUUGUAAAGAACCACUAUUUUUUUGUUUAUAGUUUUAUCAAUAAAUUAUUUGCGAGUUUGAGAAACUCAUUUGUUACUUAAGGGUGCGUUUGCACGCCAUGGUGUAAGAAAAGUGAACUAAGAAGUAUUUUUGAAAUAUUCGUUGCUUUGUGCUGCCAUCCCGAAUCCGCGAUCCCUAUUUGUACUUCGUUAGGUCGCUAACACUCGCUUACAUUCGUCUUUGCUUGAGAUAAAAUUAAAAAUAGUAUUUUGCUUAUCUUUGGUUACCACCUGUAACUGUAAAUAUCGUUCCGUAACUCUAAAAAGGGAAUUUAGUGAUCUUGCGAAAUAAAUUCUACCUAAAAAUACUUAUUUACCAUAAUAUGCGGUUUUGUUCAGUAAUUCAUUUGAAUCCCAAUAACAGUGCGUACUUGUAAUUCCUGAAAUGCCAUUCAAAGUUGGGUUAUGUUAUGGAUUAUGUUUACCUGAUUUUCUAUUAACUGCAAAAUAACAAAAAAAAACAGUACCUACCUAGGCUAUCCUUCGACUGUACACAUUUCCGAAGAUUGACUUCCGACACGGAGUACCUUUUUUUCCGAUUAUCAUUUUACCGAACGAUGUCAUUGCAGUGCGUUUAUAUAAGGCCAUCGGUCACAUCAUGGUCAGAACACGGUGCGGUCAAUUAUUGUAACGUGUAUUUCUGUUCUGUUCAUGUUCUGACCGUAACCUGACCGAUAAUAAUGUGAAUCGGCCAUAAGAAAUACUCAGCCUUUAUGAUCACAAAGGACAAUCCACGCAAUAUUUUUAGGAAAACCAGAUUUGCAAGUCAGCAAUACUGACUCAUAAUUGAAUGUUAGUUGUUUGGGUGUGAAAUCAUAUUUUGAUAUAAUACCGAUAGCAUUGAAUUAUUCAAUGCCGAUAGUAUGUAGUUCAUUCAAAUUAUGGGAACCGAGAUGACAUCCAAUCGGUGGGGUUUCGUUAUUAUUAAUAGUGCUUAAAUUUAGUUGUAAGUGAUGUGUACAUUUAUUAUCGAAUAAAUAUAUAAUCUCCA